ACUGGAGUUUGAUCCUGGCUCAGGAUGAACGCUAGCGGCAGGCUUAACACAUGCAAGUCGAGGGGUAUAGUUCUUCGGAGCUAGAGACCGGCGCACGGGUGCGUAACGCGUAUGCAAUCUACCUUUUACAGAGGGAUAGCCCAGAGAAAUUUGGAUUAAUACCUCAUAGUAUGUGAGAAUCGCAUGGUUUUUCACAUUAAAGUUCCAACGGUAAAAGAUGAGCAUGCGUCCCAUUAGCUAGAUGGUAAGGUAACGGCUUACCAUGGCGACUAUGGGUAGGGGUCCUGAGAGGGAGAUCCCCCGACACUGGUACUGAGACACGGACCAGACUCGUACGGGAGG
rnacentral:rRNA from 1 species